GUGAGGAAUAUUGCGCAAUGGAGGCAACUCUGACGCAGCCAUGCCGCGUGCAGGAAGAAGGCGCUACGCGUUGUAAACUGCUUUUAACCGGGAAGAAACCCCAGGACGUGUCCUGGGUUGACGGUACCGGAGGAAUAAGCACCGGCUAACUUCGUGCCAGCAGCCGCGGUAAUACGAGGGGUGCAAGCGUUAUCCGGAUUCAUUGGGUUUAAAGGGUGCGUAGGCGGAGCGUUAAGUCAGUGGUGAAAUCCUGCAGCUUAACUGUAGACUUGCCAUUGAUACUGGCGCUCUUGAUUGCGCUUGAAGUGGGCGGAAUGUGCCGUGUAGCGGUGAAAUGCUUAGAUAUGGCACAGAACACCAAUUGCGAAGGCAGCUCACUAAGGCGAUACUGACGCUGAGGCACGAAAGCGUGGGGAUCGAACAGGAUUAGAAACCCGGGUAGUCC
rnacentral:rRNA from 1 species